rnacentral:sRNA from 1 species
UAGAAAAUGUCAUUGUUGUAACUGGCA